ensembl:lncRNA
AUGUUGCAUUUGGAGAAAUGCUGAUGAGUGUCAGUGAAGGAUUAGAAAAAAGGCAAUAUCAGCCUCCAUGGGCUUGCAGAAGGACUGGGAAAAAGAAAACAACAACAAGAUGUUUAUAUGAACAAAUGCCGACUACAGCAUGCUGCAGCCCAGAACAGACCCAAACACUUUGGAGAAAUCCAGAUCAGAACUCCGCAGUCAGCCUUCCUGCAAACCUAAUCACAAACAGCAAAACACUGCUACUAUGUAUGACAGCUAGAAGCUUCCAUAUCCACAGAUGUGAAUUCCCACAGCACAGGAGACACUAAGAGCAGAGCCAUGACAGAAUGUACUCCACCAGGUCUCAUUUUGUCCUGCCAUGGAAGCACUGGCAACAGGAGGAAUGUGAGGAGAGAGAAGCAAGAAUGCAACCACUCAAAACACAGUUACGUCUUGACUUCAGCCAUAUUACUCCAAGUGGCCACUGCUCAGAAACUUAGCUGAUUGAUUGCAAUGCCAUUCCAAAAAGUCAUAAGUGAAAUGAAACUACUUCUUGAUGAACCAGUGUCUUUCAAAUAAUAUCUUGCUGACUUAUUUAAGAGUCGGUAAUUCCAGCAGAGCCUCCUACUCAGCAAACUAAAUCAAGAAAUUGUAACAGUCUCUUAGAUCCAAUCUAACUUUGGUUACACAUGUUUUUUCUUCCACUGUAAUUUUUUAAUGUAUAUUUUAAGAAGAUAUUUUGUAUACUGUUUACUUCCAAGUUAUUAAUAUGAAUACAGUAUAAUUCCGACUGCCCUAAAACCAUGAGAAUAACAUAGAACAUAUCCACAGAAAUGUUAAAGAAAUAUGCUUUCUACUUGGGUGCUUUAUUUGGGUUUUAUUUGCACAUAUUCAGUAUAAUUAUAGUUUAAGUGGGCUAUUUUCCAUACCCACAUAGUCAAUGCUUUCCACAUAAAGGUUCACAUUGGCUUUAGACGCACCCACAAGCUAUUUACUUGCAUGGUAUACAUAUAAUGAUCAAGCUUGUAUCUACUUCAGCCAAAUCUAAAUGUUUUCACUUGUGCCUCUUUUGCAAACCAUUUUCUCCUGAAUAAGUUGUUUCAAGCUUAUACUAUCACUUUUAUGAAUUUUAUGAUGCAACAGAUUUCCUCUUUUGCCCAGAUAUUGACUGCAGACUCAAAUUAAGAUACAUAUUUCAAGCACUCCAAAUGUUAGAAAAGUUUACAGCAAGGUUUUAUUUUGGUUGUUUUCCCAAGUAUGGGAUGAAUAUGGACUUCACUUUCAAUUCUUUUUUUCUUUUUUCCUUAUCAUUCCAAAGUUCAGCAGAAUUUGAGUAAAACUUUUGCGUUUAGUCGGUUCAUCUAUUGGACAUCAGCAUCUUAAUUGCCAGCGAGGGUUUGAAACAGAUCUUCAAAUAUGAGAAUAGGAAAAAUAUUAAACAGUACAAGCCAGAAACUCAUUUCCCACUUACUUUUGGGUUUCUCCCACUGAAGACUUUCUCAAGCUAUUUCUAACGGAACUAUUGUAAACAUGCUCUUCUGCCUAGAUUUUCAGAUGGAAAAUAUGAUGACACUGUAAACUGCAAAACAGCAUAGUUGAGUGAGGACACCUCUGUAAUGGACAGAUUCCCAAAGAAAUGUCAUCUGCACAUAUGCCCUACCAUCUUAGAGAAAUGUCCUCCCAGGCUUGAGAAACGUUUUGGUUUGGAAUCAACCCCCCGAUGUUAUGGCCAUCUUCAAAGUGGAGCAACAGAGUAAAAUGAGCAUUUUCUCAGAGGAACACAUAAGAUCAGGAAGUUUUUCUACAUAGAGAUAUUCCCAAACAACAUGAAAAUCUUCAAAGAGGAAACACUGUGUGAUAUGAACUCCAGAGAAAAAGGAGGCGACAUACACGUACAUACACACAAUAUGAAAGCUUUCAGGGAAAACAUGCUGUCCUUAGUAAUGUGAAGGGGUUUGUUUUGAAGAAGUCACCCCCUGCUGAGGCAGUAAGUAUACACGUAUGAUUACUGAGAUGUCUAAUUAAAUUCUCCUUAUCUGAAUGCCAUCUGAACUUAACAAAGCAGAUAAUAAGUUCCAGAAACAGAUACCAUGUGGGGGGCCAAAUAAUUUUGCUUCCAAAAAUUGGAGCUUGAAAUUAGAGAUGUGUAGGUAAUAGAGAACAUGAUUUUGCUCUACUCCCACUGUCUGCACCUGAACUGUUCUUUCCGUCAGAAAAAAUCGUGGAGCUAAAGUGAAGCUAAAUGCUUGCAGGAUCAACUCCAAUUCCAUGGAAAGACCGUAAGCUACCUUCUAACUCGACUUAAAUAAGUGGAUUUCCUCCAGAUUUAUACAAAGACAAGUGGGAGUAAUAUUACAUUCUUGCACUGAUUAAACAUCAACUGCAAAGAAUCAGAAUAUGACUGAAUUUUGAUUACUUUUCAGAAAUGUAUCUAGGUUGCAAAUUAACUGAAUCAUAUAUGAAGAUGGUCCUGAGAUGUUUCUGCAUGGAGUUAACUUGUCUAUGGAAAAGCUGUUCACAGGGGAACAACAUGGCACAGGUGCCCCAGAAAUACAACCUCCUCCGUAUAGUCUGAAGACUGAGUUGUUUAAUCCUGG